rnacentral:rRNA from 1 species
GACCGAACCGACUUACGUUGAAAAGUGAGUGGAUGAACUGAGGGUAGCGGAGAAAUUCCAAUCGAACCUGGAGAUAGCUGGUUCUCUCCGAAAUAGCUUUAGGGCUAGCCUCAAGUGAUGAUUAUUGGAGGUAGAGCACUGUUUGGACGAGGGGCCCCUCUCGGGUUACCGAAUUCAGACAAACUCCGAAUGCCAAUUAAUUUAACUUGGGAGUCAGAACAUGGGUGAUAAGGUCCGUGUUCGAAAGGGAAACAGCCCAGACCACCAGCUAAGGUCCCAAAAUAUAUGUUAAGUGGAAAAGGAUGUGGCGUUGCCCAGACAACUAGGAUGUUGGCUUAGAAGCAGCCAUCAUUUAAAGAGUGCGUAAUAGCUCACUAGUCGAGUGACACUGCGCCGAAAAUGUACCGGGGCUAAACAUAUUACCGAAGCUGUGGAUUGUCCUUUGGACAAUGGUAGGAGAGCGUUCUAAGGGCGUUGAAGCAUGAUCGUAAGGACAUGUGGAGCGCUUAGAAGUGAGAAUGCCGGUGUGAGUAGCGAAAGACGGGUGAGAAUCCCGUCCACCGAUUGACUAAGGUUUCCAGAGGAAGGCUCGUCCGCUCUGGGUUAGUCGGGUCCUAAGCUGAGGCCGACAGGCGUAGGCGAUGGAUAACAGGUUGAUAUUCCUGUACCACCUAUAAUCGUUUUAAUCGAUGGGGGGACGCAGUAGGAUAGGCGAAGCGUGCGAUUGGAUUGCACGUCUAAGCAGUAAGGCUGAGUAUUAGGCAAAUCCGGUACUCGUUAAGGCUGAGC